rnacentral:rRNA from 1 species
CAGCCGCCGCGGUAAUACGAGGGGGGCAAGCGUUGUUCGGAAUUAUUGGGCGUAAAGGGUGCGUAGGCGGUUCAGCAUGUCUCGUGUGAAAUCUUCGGGCUCAACCCGAAGUCUGCACGGGAAACUACUGGGCUUGAGUAAUGGAGAGGUGAGUGGAAUUUCCGGUGUAGCGGUGAAAUGUGUAGAUAUCGGAAGGAACACCUGUGGCGAAAGCGGCUCACUGGACCAUUUCUGACGCUGAUGCACGAAAGCUAGGGGAGCAAACAGGAUUAGAUACCCCCGUAGUCCCUGUCUCUAUACC